UACGGAGGGUGCAAACGUUGCUCGGAAUCACUGGGCGUAAAGCGCACGUAGGCGGGUUGUUAAGUCGGGGGUGAAAUCCUGGAGCUCAACUCCAGAACUGCCUUCGAUACUGGCGACCUUGAGUCCGGGAGAGGUGAGUGGAACUCCGAGUGUAGAGGUGAAAUUCGUAGAUAUUCGGAAGAACACCAGUGGCGAAGGCGGCUCACUGGCCCGGUACUGACGCUGAGGUGCGAAAGCGUGGGGAGCAAACAGG
rnacentral:rRNA from 1 species